GCCGCUGGAAGCGUCGCUCUGCCCCUGGGCUCAGGCUCAGCACCGCUCCGCCCGACAGGGGCAGCGCCCCGAGCCGAGACCGGGACCCUCCGCCCGACACACCCGGCCUGAGACCGGGACCUUCCGGCGCCCCGAGCCGAGACCGGGCCCCUCCGCCCGACACACCCGGCCUGAGACCGGGCCGCUCCGUCCAGCGCGCCUGGCCGGUACUAAACAGCACCCCGCGAGAGAAGCCAGUUGGAAGAAAUGACAAAAAUCAGCGAUUUCAGGGUACAGUGAGGGGUGGCAGUGGUCGUUACUCGAUAUAGCCCAGCAACAGCGUGUGAAACUUGUUGCUGAUCAACAAUUCUGUUUAGACGUGGGGGUGUUCUUCGACAAGCAUGCGCAUGUGUCAUGACCCCCUGAAACCUGCUCGCAACCCCCCUCAAGGGACCACAGACCCCUGGUGGAGAACCACAGCCGUAGAGGUUGUGAGGUGAUCAGAUAUUACAGUAGUGGGACCAGGUAAGUACCUAGGAUGGAUAUCUACCAUUGUCGUUUGCACUAUAGCUGCAGCUCUGUUGGUCCCAAGUGGACAGGGUGGGAACAUUUACCGUUGGACCAACUUCUGUUGCUGCGAGACAAGCGUUGGAGCUGACCACGAGCUCCGUGUGGCUCAGAAGCUUGGCUCUUUCACCAGCAGAAGUUGGUCCAAUAAAAGAUAUUCCCUCCCCCACCUUGUCUCCAGUGCAUUUCAGAUUCACUUCUGUGCACGUUAUAGUAAUCACAGUGGUAACAAGCUGAAGUAACAUUUAGUAACAAAUAGCCAUGACCAGGUCUGACCAUGACAUUGGCCACAUCCUCACUUGUUCACACACACACUUCGGAAACCACUUCACGUGGUUUUUUGGUGUAUCUGUCAUUUUGUCAGUGGCAGCCAGCCCCGUGUUCAGCACCAGCCUGGGACAGGGUCCCCAUCAGGGAAUGUGACCAGCGUGACUCAGGAACCCCACCCUGGGAGCCUCCUCCAGCUGGCCAACAAAAUUGUACACACUGUGUAUAGGGCUGGGCUGCAGACAACUCUGAUCUACACAGGGACACCGGUGGAGAAGAACAAUGCUGCAGCUGCAGCUCUGGGCUUGUCAGUCCUGAGAGAGAUGGGAGUGAAAAACUGAGAUUUUGAAAACCUAUCAUUAAGGGGAGGCAACCAGUGUUUCAGGAACACUUUGAUCAAAUGUCCUCCAACGUGCAGCAUAUUCUACCCUGGGCCAGGAAUUGGCAGAAGAUGGACUUGGAUUUUCGAGAGGUCACAAAUUUCAACUUUAAACAGAAACCAUGCUGCAGCUGCAACUACAACGAAUGAUUUUUCCAUCUUUAGUUUUACAAUAAUUGCUAGAAAUAUACUGUGAACUUGCAACUAACAUUUUUCAAGCACCGCUCAAUAAUAUUUAGCAAAAUCACCAAAUUUGUUUUAGUUAUUACUUAUAUUUAAUACCGCAGGGUAUCUUACUGUUUUUCCAAGAUCGGAAUAAAGUGCUAUUUCUCUCAUCUGGAAUAUAAAAAGAUUUAUUUUGCCACAAGUUUAGGUCAGUUAAAAAUGAACUUUUACAAAGCCAGAGUCACAUUUCCAUGGAAUAAAAAAUAAAAUUAAACAAGGGACAAGACUUAAAUGUUGCUGCUGCAGUGUUUGCAGCCCAAAUUAUGCUAGGACUGAGAACCAGGAAGUGACACUGACUAGAACCUGACUGUCACCAAGUGAAGGUAACAAGUCUGUUAAUUGUUCACACACUGAGAAACGCAGAGAGAGCAGGAAGUCAUCAGACUUAAAGCCCAGAUUGUGAAUGGCCCAAGUAGCUGCUGAGGGGUGAGCAAGAACUUGUUAGCCCCAGCCCCAGCCCCAGGGCAGCAGCACAAGAGCCUGCCCCCUUUACACGGGCUGGCAGAAUGGGGCUGGCACAGGGGAAGCAGCAAUCUGCUCCCCCCAAUGAACGGAGCAGACUGCACUCUCGGCACUAUGACAGAUUGCGCCUCUCUGCUGCAGGCUCUCUCCAGAGCACCUCCUAGAGCAGUGCCACUCUACCAUGCCCUGACUUCAGGCCCUGCCUUCAAAUCACAAGUGUUUUCCCCUUUUAUUCACUGCAGAUGUAUUUCUCACAUAGGCAAAGAAAUGAUUUUUCCUGUCUGGCUGCACA